CUACGGGUCGCUCCAGUGGGGAAUAUUGCACAAUGGGCGCAAGCCUGAUGCAGCAACGCCGCGUGAGGGAUGAAGGCCUUCGGGUUGUAAACCUCUUUUAGCAGGGAAGAAGCGAAAGUGACGGUACCUGCAGAAAAAGCACCGGCUAACUACGUGCCAGCAGCCGCGGUAAUACGUAGGGUGCAAGCGUUGUCCGGAAUUAUUGGGCGUAAAGAGCUCGCAGGCGGUUUGUCACGUCUGCUGUGAAAAUCCAAGGCUCAACCUUGGACUUGCAGUGGGUACGGGCAGGCUAGAGUGCGGUAGGGGAGAUGGGAAUUCCUGGUGUAGCGGUGGAAUGCGCAGAUAUCAGGAGGAACACCAAUGGCGAAGGCACAUCUCUGGGCCGUAACUGACGCUGAGGAGCGAAAGCGUGGGGAGCGAACAGGAUUAGAUACCCUUGUAGUC
rnacentral:rRNA from 1 species